UUGGAGGGAGGGGCCUUCCUCUUGCAGAGAACUUAGGAGUUGUGCUGUGAAGGGGAAGCAGAGGGAUUAGAGGACGGGCCUGGGAGAGAGGAACCUCCAGGAGAGAGGGUGGGGACGGCAGCAGGUGGCAGAGAGGUGCCACGGCUGACACUGCCACCCCUACCCCCACCCCAUAGCCGGCCCAUCUCCACAAUCCCCUUGCUAAGGCCGCCAACGACACGAGGGGACUAAUUUAGGAGUAUUUUUAAAACUGUGGCCCUGGUGGAGGGGUUUAGCAGUUGUCAGCCAUCUGGAGUAAGGAAUUACCGUCACCUCCCUGAUCCUAUAGCCCUAAACCCAAAGCUGGUUACAGCUCGAGGGGGAGGCAGCAGGUGGGUGGGGUGGGGGCCUGUCCCUGGGAGGUGCCCACAGGCCUGGGAACCGCCUCCCCUUGCCCCGGGAGGGGGUUGGGGGCUGGAGAGGGGGCUGGAGAGCCUGGUGUCCUCUGUGCCCACUCAGGCUCCCCCGCCCGCUCACGCACGCUCGCUCCCUGGGCCGCGCCGGCUCGCGCAGGGGCCGUCAGGUAAAUUAGAUCUGAAAGCUGACAAUUUCUGACCAUAUUUCCUUGAUUAUUUCAAACAAAUGCACAGCAGCCGCUGUAAGGAGAUUAAAGUGACAUAAACGUCCCGAGUGGGAGGGGGGAGGGCAGAGGAUUCAGGUCACCCCCAUCCGUCCCCCGCCUGACAGACGCUAUAUCGCUAUCCAAUCCAAUAAAAAAUCCCCCCCUUUUGCUUUAAUUAAUUUUACAGCUAGCUUGCUUAAUUACUUUCAAUCAAAAUCCUCCUGCCAUCGCAAAAUUAGAGAUGGUUGAGCUCCAUUAGCCUAAAUUCUUCAUUUCCAUACAGAAAAGAGGCUGUCUGCGUAGCCAGCCUGGGCCCCUGGCAGGACAGACGCCCGUCUGCCCGCCCGCUGCCAGCCAGCCCACUCCUGGCCUGCGCUCCGCUCCGUGGCUGUCUCUGGCCUGUGCCUCCCCACCCCCACUCUGUUCCACCGCUGCUCCUGGAGGGGGGAUGGAGUUGAGGUCCAGGAGGGUACACGCCCCCCCCACCUUCCAACUUUUCCCCCCAACUCGGCCAGGGCCUGUGGAGCUGGGCUGGACAACCAGGGCGGGCUUGCUCCCGGCUGAAGGAAUGGCAGAUCCUGGGACCCUGCUUUCCUGCUAAGGGACCCCCGCUGCUCCCCUGGGGAGCCUAGUCUCCUGGCCGCCCAAGCCCAGAGCAGCCGGUUCUGGGUCCUCGGCCUCAGGCCUCCUCAGAAAGCAGAGCUCCUGGCAGGGCAGGAGCCCUUCCAGGCUCGCACGCAGGGCCUGGUCAGUGUAGACCUCUGGAACCGACAUCACCCAGCGUCCCCUGUCCGCGGUUUCCGGGCCGGGGUCCUUGCUCCCUGUCUGAGCCACUCGAGGGCCAGCUGUCUCAGUGGUGCUAAAAGGCAGUGCAGCAGCCCCCACAGACUCUGGUGUUCUCCAGGGGGCCUCCGCACGGGCCCCUCCUGCCUGGCCCUCUCUCGUCCCCGGUCCCCAGCCCGCAACAGCUGCUCCUCCACCCCCAGCAGGGCGAGGGUGGGUGGCGGGUCUGGGCUCUGUCCACAUCCUGUGCCUGCACCGGCGCUCUCCUCCUCCCUUCCACCUGCCUCCUCCUCACGGCCCCCAGCCCCAACUCCGGAAGCUCCACUUCAGGUUUUCCGAGCUACAGCCCCGAGUGUCACCACGGGGUCCAGCCCGACCUGGGCUCCAGCUGAUUAAGGAUCUGCAACAGGAUGUAGGGAUUACGGUAAAACCUGGCUCCGGAUCUACAGGGGCAGGGGGCCAAGUCCUGACUCUGGGACUCCCCUCCCCUCCCCUUUAUUUCUGCCUGCUUCCUCCCUCUCAGCUGCCAAGGGCCCAGGAUGGCUGAGCCUCCGGGUCCUUCCUGGGGUCUUGGCUGGACUCUGACGAGUGGAUGAUAUAGGGUACCAUUAAGGGACCCAGGGCGAAUCUGGCAGAAAGACAGGAUCAGGACGGGUGGGGAAGGGGAGUUAUGGCUGAAAUCUGCCCUGGACCCUUUAAUGGGGCAGGCAGCUAAGCUGGUCUUCCUCAGGGAACGGGUAUGGAGGCGGGAUGUCCCGGGUCUGACUUCUGGGCAAAGGCAGAGCCAGAUGGGGAAGGGAGAGCUCUGAAGGCUUGCUGAGGCUCUCUUAGGCAACAGGCCUUAGGGCUGUCCCGCUGCUGUGGCUGCACGACUCCAGGGUGUCAGGCCACUGUGGUCAGGUGGGGCAGCCGAACCUGGACCUCCAGAGCCUGGCCUCUGGGUCGCCAGGGGCCCACUGGUCUGUCUACAGGCUCCUCACUGGUCUUGCGCUAAGGGUCAGCCCACGUCCUCUUCUUCCGGGGUCCAGGGACAGGGCUGAGCUGGGUUCCUGCUCUGCCCCCAAGCACCAGGCCUGGCACAGACGGGUGGAACUGGUAGAAGGGAGGCUGGAAGAGUGAGUUCUGGGCCAGUUACCCAGGGCUCGAAGGAGCACAGCCCUGGGGCCGGCACAGCUCCCCACCAACCUGCCAGCCAGCGCCUGUGCGACAGGGAAGCACCCACCUCCUUCGACCCAGGGCCCGGCUGCCCCACCCUGACCCCACGCAUCCUUCGGAGGUCCCAGGAGAAAUUUCAUUCCUCCUGGAAGCCCUCCGAGAUCACCACGCUCUGUAGGGUCCCUUCCUCGUCCUCUCACGACGCCCUGCUCCAUGCGGUAGCACUUCUGUAAUAACUUGUUUAAUUACCCUUCUGUCUCCCUAGACUGCAGGACCCGUAGGAUGGGACUACUGUUUUAGCAGAGCGCCUGACCCAAAUAAAUAUUUACUGAAUGGAUACAGAAAA